rnacentral:lncRNA from 1 species
UGAGUUAUACAUUAUUUGUUUAGGAAAAUUAAUUAUUCCUUUUCAAAAUUAUACCAUUUUAUUUGUUUUUUUUAUAUUUUUUACUGUAGUAUAGUUGUUUGCUAUGAAGAUAUUCAUCUAGCUUAUGUCAGUUCUGCUUCUGAGAAUUCUUGAUUGAUAAAGCUGUUACAUAUUCUGAGCCUCCCAGUGAAACCAAAUCAUAUUUUGAAUCUUGUUCUUAUUUUAGUAAUUAUUUAGUUUUUUGUUGCUUAUCGUUGUGUUGUAAUAAUAUAAGGCUUGUGAUGAUUUAAUCCAUCUAGUUUGAGGUGUAGUGGAACUAAGCCCAUGUUUACAUGGAGAACCUACUUGGGGAAGCUACGUUCAUAUGACAUCAUUGGAUUAUUCUGAGGCUUUAUAUUAUGAUAUCCUUUACAAUUACUCUUACGAGACCAUGUUUUCCUUGUUGUUAUGGUGUGUUAGUAUGAUUUAAUUAAAUGAUUUUUUACUGAGUUUCACUAUACCCUUUAGAAUGUUAAUUUGUUCAGGGUCUGAAUAACUCAAAGAUUUUGUGUUGUCAUCAGCUUCAUCUCUUGUCCAACCCACGGGAUAGGAGUUAAAUAACAGCACUACAUUUAUUUUAUUAGCAUUUCAUUAUGGUAAUUUAGUAUGACCUAUUAUGGCUGUUAUUUUUUCCGUAGUAUCAUCUACCUCGCAUUUGCACAGAGCUCUUGGUUAUUCUUUGGGCACAUGAACCAGUGAUCUAAUGCUGAGAGGACCAAAGCUCGUCUUGUAAUUAGGCUGGGCUAUCACACAUAGGUUCUAAACUCAUUCUAUCCAUCUUUGCUUUUGUUUAAAAGCAUAAAAUUUGUAUUCCGUGAUGUAGUGAUUGGUUCCUUCAUAUAGUAAAUGCAUUACGUAUUUACAAAUUUCAGAAGUAGUUGAUUAUAUUAAUAUAAAUCCCCGUUCCUCUAUAAUAUCCUCAUAUGAAACUUGGUAUGAAUUAUGGAAUUUGGCGAAUACUUGUUUGUAGUAUUAAAAUAGACGUGUUGACAAUUAGUUAAUAUUGUUUUUUUACAGUCAAUAACUUUAAGGUGUUGAAAUGAUGAAUAUGGAUUUAUAUUUUCACACGACGGUCGUCGGAAAUUCACUUUGAUGUUAUCAUCCAAAAAUUCUGAUGGCUUUUACCUUUUUUUCACUUAUGGUUAGAAUAGGUAAUGCUGUUAGUCUUCUUUCAUCUGUGGUAUUCUGAAGUUCAUCGAAUACUAAUAAGUUGAUAAAUUUGUCACAAUUUGUUAGGUUCGGUGGUGGUAGCAAUGAUGAAGAUGCUGAGUGUUAAGUGCCAAAAAUUAGUAAAAUUGUACAUGAUUUGUGGGGCACUUAGUAUGCAUUUAUGUUAUAAUUGUAUACAAUUCCUGAUAACUUAGUUAAUUUUGCUCUAGUUAGGAAUUUAUUGUGUUUUUGUUGUUUCAUGUUAAUAAAUAAAGAAAAGAGGAGAAGAAAAGAAGAAGGAUGAAGAUUCUGAAUAGUGCAUGUCUCGCCUAAGCGAGGAAAGAGUCGCUCAAGCGACAACUAAGAGAAAAAGCAACAAAAUACCUGAUGCUUCUCGCUCAAGCGACGGAUCUUCGCUCAAGCGACGGAUCUUCGCUCAAGCGACGGAUCUUCGCUCAAGCGACGGAUCUUCGCUCAA